AAAACAUACGAGUCUUCUCAUUUCAUGGGAAUAUCCUGAGUCUGCAAUCACGGCUUCAAUUUUUGAAUUGCAGAAUAAUUAUAGAUGCACUAUCUAGUGUAUAUAUAAGAUGUCUAUGGUCCCCCACAAUUACAGAAGUUCCCCCAUCACUAAUAGAGAUAUAAAUAGCGUGUUCUGUGGACUUGACGUUGAUCUGCAUAAUACUGCUGUCGAACCUUGUCGCCCGAUUAUGUUAUUUUCCGGUUUUAAAUUGCGAAUUAAAUUGUUUUAGGCAUCUGAAAGGUGCUUUUGUCUUUCGGAAAUAGGUUAACACCAUAUAUUGUUGCCUCUUUUGCUUUUAGAGGACUAGUAUAUUAGUAUGUUCUUU